UACGUAGGGUGCAAGCGUUGUCCGGAAUUAUUGGGCGUAAAGAGCUCGUAGGCGGUUUGUCGCGUCGAAUGUGAAAACCCGGGGCUCAACCCCGGGCCUGCAUUCGAUACGGGCAGACUAGAGUUCGGUAGGGGAGUCUGGAAUUCCUGGUGUAGCGGUGAAAUGCGUAGAUAUCAGUCGGAACACCGGUGGCGAAGGCGGCUUCUUGGGCCGACACUGACGCUGAGGAGCGAAAGCCAGGUGAGCAAACGGG
rnacentral:rRNA from 1 species